UAUCCUACGGGGCGCAGCAGUGAGGAAUAUUGGGCAAUGGGGGCAACCCUGACCCAGCCAUGCCGCGUGAGUGAGGACGGUCCUAUGGAUUGUAAACCUCUUUUGUCGGGGAACAAAGGCGCCCACGGGUGGGCGGAUGAGUGUACCCGAAGAAAAAGCAUCGGCUAACUCCGUGCCAGCAGCCGCGGUAAUACGGAGGAUGCGAGCGUUAUCCGGAUUUAUUGGGUUUAAAGGGUGCGUAGGCGGACAGUCAAGUCAGCGGUAAAAAUGCGUUGCUCAACGCCGUACAGCCGUUGAAACUGGCG
rnacentral:rRNA from 1 species